CAUCACUACGCUAGAUGCAUAUCAAUAAGCGGAGGAAAAGAAACUAACAAGGAUUCCCUUAGUAACGGCGAGUGAAGCGGGAAGAGCUCAAAUUUGAAAUCUUCAAGGUUUUACCUUGACGAAUUGUAGUUUAAAGAAGUGUUUUCUGUUGAAGUUUUGGUAAAAGUUCUUUGGAAUAGGACAUCAUAGAGGGUGAGAAUCCCGUAUUUGACCAUUAUUUUCAGCUGUGUGAUACACUUUCAAGGAGUCGGAUUGUUUGGGAAUGCAGUCCAAAAUGGGUGGUAAAUUUCAUCUAAAGCUAAAUAUUGGCGAGAGACCGAUAGCGAACAAGUACCGUGAGGGAAAGAUGAAAAGAACUUUGAAAAGAGAGUUAAACAGUACGUGAAAUUGUCAAAAGGGAAGCGUUUGACACCAGUGUUGUUUAGUUGAAAAUCAACUCAAUAAUUUUUGAUUUUGAGUAGUAUUGACUUCAUCAGCUUGCUGCUUUCUUUUCGGAAAUUAUUGAAUGCACUUUUCAGUUAACAAGUCAACAUCAAUUUCUUUUGUUGUAAAAGGGUAAGAGGAAGGUGGCUUACGCUUCGGCGUAAGUGUUUAUAGCCUUUUACCUCUGCAAUCGGAGAGAUUGAGGACAGCAGCGUAGACUCCUUCGGGGUUAGAUACACUUGUGCUAAGCUAUAGCCUUGUAUAGACAACUUGUUGACUAUGCUCAGUCAUGUAGCUUACUCGCUGAUGCUAUUUUACCUACGCUUAGGAUGUUGACGAGACUGUCGAUCUC
rnacentral:rRNA from 1 species